UCCCUAGUAGCUCAGAUGGUAAAGCAUCUGCCUGUAAUGCGGGAAACCUGGGUUCAAUCCCUGGGUUGGGAA
rfam:TPA: Bos taurus chromosome 23, whole genome shotgun sequence.